GUCCUCGUAGCUUAAUAACAAAGCAUGGCACUGAAGAUGCCAAGAUGGCCCACUAAAUGCCCGAUGACA
rnacentral:tRNA from 1 species